rnacentral:rRNA from 1 species
UACGUAGGGUGCGAGCGUUGUCCGGAAUUAUUGGGCGUAAAGGGUUCGUAGGUGGCCAACUAAGUCAUACGUGAAAUCCCUCAGCUUAACUGGGGAACUGCGUCUGAUACUGGUUGGCUUGAGUGCAGGAGAGGAACGCGGAAUUCCAGGUGUAGCGGUGAAAUGCGUAGAUAUCUGGAGGAACACCGGUGGCGAAGGCGGCGUUCUGGACUGCAACUGACACUGAGGAACGAAAGCCAGGGGAGCAAACGGG